UUUUAUAUCUAGCCUUAAUGAGCCUUAAUACAAUCGCGUCAAAGCAACGACAGCAAACGGGCCUAUUAGCUAAUGGAAUUUUUAGUUAGUCUUGCAAAUCGCCUUCAAAUUGCAAAAGACUACCUGUUGCAAUCACCAUAUGCAAGUGGUUAAAUUAAUUGCAGUGGUCAGUUAAUUGGUUGAAGCAAAAAAUUAAGCAAAGCUACUGGUCAUCCCACGCUGAUCUAAGCAAUGAGAUUCCAACACACGAAUAUUUCAACGAACAUCUGCUCAGGUUACAUUGGAAGAGGCUACAGCACUUCUGACCGAGUUUGAGUCGUCGGACAUGGAAGCCGAAACGGAUCUUGAUUUUGGGUUAGCGCAGUCUAUUGAAACUGAUGAGACAUCUACUACCCAAGAAUCUACUUCUAAAUCAAAGUGUCGUUUUAGCUUAAGUGCCUCUUGAACUGGCCACGAAACUCACUUCAAGUUGGGUAUAAAAUUAUGCUAGCAAUUGUCGAUGUUGUGAAUUUCAUAAUUCUUAUUGACAAAGCGCAUUUGCCUUUUGUUAAACAGUCCAAAUCCUCCCCCAAAAACUGUCUGAACAUGUGCCAAUUAUAUGUCCGCCUCGGUUAAGACACACGGAUGUGAAACCCUUUCUUUGAAGCUACGAAAUACCUUCUAAGUAAUGAAAAAAAAACAGUUUUAGCAACUAAUGACGAAGCUCGUUUUUCUACAUAGAAUUUCAUUUUAUCCAGAAUUUGAAUAAUUACGUAAUAAGUGAUGGCGAUUGUAAAAAAACAAACAA